GAUGAAGAACGUAGCAAAAUGCGAUACUUGGUGUGAAUUGCAGAAUCCCGUGAACCAUCGAGUUUUUGAACGCAAGUUGCGCCCGAAGCCUUUUGGCCGAGGGCACGUCUGCCUGGGCGUCACGCAUCGCGUCGCCCCCCACAAUUCUCCGUAAAGGGAACAUGUGUUUUGGGGGCGGAUAUUGGUCUCCCGUGCUCAUGGCGUGGUUGGCCGAAAUAGGAGUCCUUUCGAUGGACGCACGAACUAGUGGUGGUCGUAAAAACCCUCGUCUUUUGUUUCGUGCUGUUGGUCGCAAGGUAAACUCUUUAAAAACCCCAAUGUGUCGUCUCUUGACGACGCUUCGACCGCGACCCCAGGUCAGGCGGGACUACCCGCUGAGUUUUAGCAUAUCAAUAAGCGGAGGA
rnacentral:misc_RNA from 1 species